rnacentral:pre_miRNA from 1 species
AAAAAGACAAACCCUGGUUUCCGUGUCCAACGUUUGACCGUCCGUCUUAUUUGAAAAAAUUAAAAAGAGAAGUCACACAUAAAACAUUAAUCAUGUUUUAUCAUCUAACAAUAAUGAAAAUACGAAUUAUAAAAAAAAUUCAUAUAAGACGGAUAGUCAAAGUUGUACACGGAAACUCAGGGUUUGUCUUUUU